UACGAGGGGAGCAAGCGUUGUUCGGAUUUACUGGGCGUAAAGGGCGCGUAGGCGGUCGUGACAAGUCACUUGUGAAAUCUCCGGGCUUAACUCGGAACGGUCAAGUGAUACUGUCGGACUAGAGUACAGAAGGGGCAACUGGAAUUCUCGGUGUAGCGGUGAAAUGCGUAGAUAUCGAGAGGAACACCUGCGGCGAAGGCGGGUUGCGGGGCUGAUACUGACGCUGAUGCGCGAAAGCCAGGGGAGCGAACGGG
rnacentral:rRNA from 1 species